rnacentral:rRNA from 1 species
UGCAAGUCGCACGAGACGCUUCAGCUUGCUGAAGUUAGUAAAGUGGCGCACGGGUGAGUAACGCGUGGGUAAUCUACCCCCGAAUUGGGGAUAACAUCGCGAAAGCGAUGCUAAUACCGAAUGAUAUCUUGAAAACUCUGUUUUCUGGAUCAAAGAUGGCCUCUACAUGUAAGCUAUUGUUUGGGGAUGAGCCCGCGUACCAUUAGCUUGUUGGUAGGGUAAUGGCCUACCAAGGCAACGAUGGUUAGCUGGUCUGAGAGGAUGAUCAGCCACACUGGAACUGACACACGGUCCAGACUCCUACGGGAGGCAGCAGUGAGGAAUUUUGCGCAAUGGGGGAAACCCUGACGCAGCAACGCCGCGUGAGUGAUGAAGGCUUUCGGGUCGUAAAGCUCUGUCAAGUGGGAAGAAACCAUAUGGUGUUAAUAUCGCCAUAUGCUGACGGUACCAUUGAAGGAAGCACCGGCUAACUCCGUGCCAGCAGCCGCGGUAAUACG